rnacentral:rRNA from 1 species
CAAGAGCGUAUAUUAAAGUUGUUGCAGUUAAAAAGCUCGUAGUUGGAUUUCUGGUACAAUGCGCCUGACCCGCGGCAGUAAUGCCUGUGAGUGUCGGUGCGCGUUUACCAUCCUUCUAGAAAACGUUUCUACCCUUUACUGGGCCGGACUCGCGAUCUAGAUCUUUUACUUUGAAAAAUUAGAGUGUUCAAAGCAGGCUUUCGCUGUGAAUACAUUAGCAUGGAAUAAUAAUCUAGGACUUCGGUUCUAUUUUGUUUGGUUUCUUAGAUCUGAAGUAAUGAUUGAUAGGGAUAGUUGGGGGUGGCUAGUAUUAAGGGGUCCGAGAGGUGGAAAUUCUUGGAUUCUCUUAAGACUAACUUAUGCGAAAGCAUUCACCAAGGAUGUCUUCUUUAAUCAAGAACGAAAGUUGGGGGAGUCGAAGAUGAUUAGAUACCAU